rnacentral:misc_RNA from 1 species
UCGCGGCUUAUCACCGGCAGUCCCCUUAGAGUGCCCAACUAAAUGAUGGCAACUAAGGGCGAGGGUUGCGCUCGUUGCGGGACUUAACCCAACAUCUCACGACACGAGCUGACGACAGCCAUGCAGCACCUGUGUUCCCGUUCCCUUUCGGGCACAGCCGGGUUUCCCCAGCCUCCAGGACAUGUCAAGGGUAGGUAAGGUUUUUCGCGUUGCAUCGAAUUAAUCCACAUAAUCCACCGCUUGUGCGGGUCCCCGUCAAUUCCUUUGAGUUUUAGCCUUGUGGCCGUACUCCCCAGGCGGGGCGCUUAAUGCGUUAGCUGCGGCACGGAACCCAUGGAAUAGGCCCCACACCUAGCGCCCAUCGUUUACGGCGUGGACUAC